UACGUAGGGUGCAAGCGUUAAUCGGAAUUACUGGGCGUAAAGCGUGCGCAGGCGGUCGUGCAAGACAGAUGUGAAAUCCCCGGGCUCAACCUGGGAACUGCAUUUGUGACUGCACGGCUGGAGUGCGGCAGAGGGGGGAUGGAAUUCCGCGUGUAGCAGUGAAAUGCGUAGAUAUGCGGAGGAACACCGAUGGCGAAGGCAAUCCCCCUGGGCCUGCACUGACGCUCAUGCACGAAAGCGUGGGGAGC
rnacentral:rRNA from 1 species